AUGGCUCUUACAAAGCAGACUGCUUGCAAAUCCACUGGUGGUAACGCACCCAGGAAACAACUGGCUACAAAAGCCUCUCAGAAGAAUGCGCCCUCUACUGGAGGAGUGAAGAAACCUCAUCGUUACAGGCCUGAUACCUUGGCACUUGCUAUCAAAGUCCACUGAACUUCUGAUUUGCAAGAUUCCCUUUCAGCGUCUGGUGUGAGAAAUUGCUCAGGACUUCAAAACAGAUCUGCGCUUCCAGAGUGCAGCUAUUGGUGCUUUGCAGGAGGCAAGUGGUUGGCCUUUUUGAAGAUACCAAUCUGUGUGCUAUCCAUGCCAAAUGUGUAACAAUUAUGCCAAAAGAUAUCCAGCUAGCACGCCGCAUACGCGGAGAACGUGCUUAA
rnacentral:lncRNA from 1 species